rnacentral:tRNA from 1 species
AGGGCCGUAGCUCAGUGGUCAGAGCAGGGGACUCAUAAUCCCUCGGUCGUGGGUUCGAUCCCCACCGGCCCUACCA